rnacentral:rRNA from 1 species
CCCCUAGAUGUUCUGGGCCGCACGCGCGCUACACUGAACAGUUCAACAAGUCUUAACCUUGGCCGAUAGGUCUGGGUAAUCUUUGAACGCUGUUCGUGAUUGAGAUAGACCUUUGCAAUUAUGGGUCUUCAACGAGGAAUUCCUAGUAAACGCAAGUCAUCAGCUUGCAUUGAUUACGUCCCUGCCCUUUGUACACACCGCCCGUCGCACCUACCGAUUGAAUGGUCCGGUGAAGCCUCCGGAUUGGCGCGCACCUCGGUGCCGCCGAGAAGUUGGCUAAACCUUACCAUUUAGAGGAAGGUGAAGUCGUAACA